rnacentral:rRNA from 1 species
AGAGUUUGAUCCUGGCUCAGAAUCAACGCUGGCGGCGUGCGUAACACAUGCAAGUCGAACGCGAAAGCGGGGGCAACUCCGCAAGUAGAGUGGCAAACGGGUGAGUAACACGUGGAUAACUUACCUGUGGGUGAGGAAUAACUCGUCGAAAGGCGGGCUAAUACCGCAUAACAUUCUUGGGACAUAAGUCGUGAGAAUCAAAGCCCCUAAAGGGUGCCUGCAGAGAGGUCCGCGGCUGAUUAGCUAGUUGGUAGGGUAAUGGCCUACCAAGGCUCCGAUCAGUAGCCGGCCUGAGAGGGUGUACGGCCACACUGGAACUGAGACACGGUCCAGACUCCUACGGGAGGCAGCAGUGGGGAAUUUUGCGCAAUGGGCGAAAGCCUGACGCAGCAACGCCGCGUGAGUGAUGAAGUCCUUCGGGAUGUAAAACUCUGUCGUUUGGGACGAAACGGCCCGCAAGGGUCACUGACUGUACCAAGUGAGGAAGCCCCGGCUAACUCCGUGCCAGCAGCCGCGGUAAUACGGAGGGGGCAAGCGUUGUUCGGAAUUACUGGGCGUAAAGGGCGUGUAGGCGGUUAGGUAAGUCAGUUGUGAAAGCCCCGAGCUUAACUUGGGAAUUGCAACUGAAACUGCCUAGCUAGAGUUUUGGAGAGGAAAGCGGAACUCCCAGUGUAGCGGUGAAAUGCGUAGAUAUUGGGAGGAACACCGGUGGCGAAGGCGGCUUUCUGGACAAAAACUGACGCUGAGGCGCGAAAGCUAGGGGAGCAAACGGGAUUAGAUACCCCGGUAGUCCUAGCUGUAAACGAUGGAUACUGGGUGUUGAAGGUAUUGAGUCCUUCAGUGCCGAAGCUAACGCAUUAAGUAUCCCGCCUGGGGAGUACGGUCGCAAGACUGAAACUCAAAGGAAUUGACGGGGGCCCGCACAAGCGGUGGAGCAUGUGGUUUAAUUCGACGCAACGCGAAGAACCUUACCGGGGCUCGAACGGCUUCUGACAGUCCUAGAAAUAGGAUCUUACCUUCGGGUACAGAAGUCGAGGUGCUGCAUGGCUGUCGUCAGCUCGUGUCGUGAGGUGUUGGGUUAAGUCCCGCAACGAGCGCAACCCCUAUCCUCUGUUGCC